rnacentral:rRNA from 1 species
UACGUAGGUGGCAAGCGUUUGUCCGGAAUUAUUGGGCGUAAAGCGCGCGCAGGCGGUCUUUUAAGUCUGAUGUGAAAGCCCACGGCUCAACCGUGGAGGGUCAUUGGAAACUGGGAGACUUGAGUGCAGAAGAGAAGAGUGGAAUUCCACGUGUAGCGGUGAAAUGCGUAGAGAUGUGGAGGAACACCAGUGGCGAAGGCGACUCUUUGGUCUGUAACUGACGCUGAGGCGGCGAAAGCGAUGGGAG